GACGAACGCUGGCGGCGUGCUUAACACAUGCAAGUCGAACGAAGUCGCGAACGGGUGGGUAACGCGUCAUCAACCUGCUCUUCAGAGGGGGACAACAGUUGGCAACGACUGCUAAUACCGCAUACUGAAGGUGGGGUUUUCGUCUGAUUGGCUAGUUGGAGGGGUAACGUCCCGCCAAGGCGAUGAUCAGUAGCCGGUCUGGGAGGAUGAACGGCCACAUUGGGACGGGAACACGGCCCAGACUCCUACGGGAGGGAGCAGUGGGGAAGCGUCCGCAAUGGACGAAAGGCUGACGCAGCAACGCCGCGUGAGUGAUGACGGCCUUCGGGUUGUAAAGCUCUGUUAAUCGGGACGCGGUACCGGAAUAGAAAGCCACGGCUAACUACGUGCCAGCAGCCGCGGUAAUUC
rnacentral:rRNA from 1 species